rnacentral:rRNA from 1 species
AUGAACGCUGGCGGCGUGCCUAAUACAUGCAAGUCGAGCGAACAGACGAGGAGCUUGCUCCUCUGACGUUAGCGGCGGACGGGUGAGUAACACGUGGAUACCUACCUAUAAGACUGGGAUAACUUCGGGAAACCGGAGCUAAUACCGGAUAAUAUAUUGAACCGCAUGGUUCAAUAGUGAAGGACGGUUUUGCUGUCACUUAUAGAUGGAUCCGCGCCGCAUUAGCUAGUUGGUAAGGUAACGGCUUACCAAGGCAACGAUGCGUAGCCGACCUGAGAGGGUGAUCGGCCACACUGGAACUGAGACACGGUCCAGACUCCUACGGGAGGCAGCAGUAGGGAAUCUUCCGCAAUGGGCGAAAGCCUGACGGAGCAACGCCGCGUGAGUGAUGAAGGUCUUCGGAUCGUAAAACUCUGUUAUUAGGGAAGAACAAAUGUGUAAGUAACUAUGCACGUCUUGACGGUACCUAAUCAGAAAGCCACGGCUAACUACGUG